AUUGAACGCUGGCGGCAGGCCUAACACAUGCAAGUCGAACGAGUGGCGGACGGGUAAGUAAUGUCUAGGAAAAUGCCAGAUGGCGGGGGAUAACUACUGGCAAAGGUAGCUAAUACCUCAUACCAUCGGAUCUGCGCAGAUGGGAUUAGCUGCUUGGUGGGGGAAAGGCUGACCUAGGCUACAAUCCCUAGCUGGUCUGAGAGGAUUACCAGCAACACUGGAACGGAGACAGGGUCCAGACUCCUACGGGAGGCAGCAGUGGGGAAUAGUGCACAAUGGGAGCAAGCUUGACGAAGACAUGCCGCGUGUAGGAAGAAGGCCUUGGGGUUGUAAAGUACGUUCAGCGGGGAGGCGUUACUCGCAGAAGAAGCACCGGCUAACUCCGUGCCAGCAGCCGCGGUAAUUC
rnacentral:rRNA from 1 species